AUGAACGCCCGCAGGAGCGCCAACGCCACCAGACCGCCGUCCCGCGAGCAAGCUCCUCCGCCCCGAGCUCCGUUCGCGCUGUCGUUUGCUCGGAUCCGGUGCCGGCCGACCGGAUCCACCCGGCUUCACUGUUCCCGGCGCUGUCGGAGCCAUGCUUCAAGUCCCCGACGCCAAGCUCUGUCGCCGCCGGCUUCGACCUCCUCCCUCGCGCGGCUCCUUCCCUGCCUCCACCGCGAGCCCACCAUGGCGCUGCUGCUAUGCUUGCUGCCGCACCUCCCGCUGGCCCCUGCUGAUGCCAUGGCAGCCUCUGUUCGUUGA
rnacentral:rRNA from 1 species